UAGUAGUCCUUUCCUCUUGAGCUGAUUCAUCUGCAUUGAAAGAUGAAUUGGACUUGUGAAAGAUAAGCAUCUAAAUAGGCGCAUGGUUCUAGACAUUUUUUAUUCGCAUCCCCAUACUUUCACUGUAUAUCUCCAUCGGGGGUGGUUGAAAGAUUAAAAUGCCCCGUGCAAUCGUUAUCCUUGCUGUCGUUACCUCCUUGUCGUCGUCGUCGCUGUUCCCUUGCCAUCGCCGCUCCAUGUCUCGUUGCCGCCCUUGUCUAUUUGUUGUGUUAAGGAAUACUGACUAUCACGAAUUGCUGCUUCUAACAUGGCUACAAUGCAAACUACCACUGAAAAGGAAUUAUUCAAGAAGCUUCCAUGUGAUAUGAUUGAAUCAACAAUCUGCACGAAAGGACAAAUAACAACGAUGUGGUUGAGAUUCAAAAGCGGAAAAGAGGAGGUUUUCUGAAGUGCAAUGGGGAUACAACAGUAAGGCUUUGGUACGACUGGUUUGAAUUACCAACAAAAUUCCUCACGAGAAAUUUUGAAGAACUGACCUUGCUAUUGUCAAUCUUUGUUGGUGCAUAUCCCACUAAUAAGUAAUGAACUCAACACAUUCAAGUCAUUGAAGCUCAACAAGGUGAUUUGACACUCACAUGCUCAGUGAGGGCAAGAUUUGCCUCAAAGAAUGAUCUGAUGGUCCCUAUGUCUUCCCAAUAAUCAUUGAAGAGAUAAGCCUGCACACAGAGAUUGUCACACCAUAGAUGGUGGUGAUCGUGCAUAUGAAAGCAUAUGGGGCAUUUUGUUGGUGGUAUUUCAGAGGUGACGUUGAUGCCCAAUGCUCAAGGAACUCACUUUCUAUCUAACUUUGCAGAAAAUCCUGAACUCCACAAGAUAAUUUGGGACUGAAUCACUAUUUUCUCUCUCUUUUAUUAUUGAUUACAUUUAAAGGCAUUUUAAAGCCUUUCACUAUGAAAUAAAUGUCAAUGCUGUUUGCUCCAGGAGCUUGUUUCAGUCCUUAAAAAACUUUAUUUAGUUUAUAAAUCUUCUCUUCUUGGCCUUCAAUCCAAA